CUGGGUCCAGGACUCAAAUCGUGGUUGACUACGUGGGAGUCCAGUGACAUAGCCAUUAUGCUAACUGCUGGUCCCUCACUCAAGAUUCUUAAGUAGGUCCCUUACCUUAAAAAUGUUAAGAACAAUCUGAUAUAAGUGGUUGUAAUAGUUUUAAAAACAUCAUAGGGGAAUGACUCUGUGCAAAGAUGAAUGCACAGAAAAUGUCUCUGAAAUCUGUAUGUUCCAGUUCAGUAUAAUCAACCCCAAUCUCAAUGCUUUAAUAAAAGUACUAGGGUGACCCUUUGACUUGGCAGUUAAGAGCUUGGAGAGUUCUUCUUUGUCCAAGUUGGUGGCCUGGCUGCAUCAUUUGGAAGUUGUACCACCUUGGGCAGAGGACUUACCUUCUAAACCUCAGCUGGCAGAUCUUCAGAAUAAGAGGAAGAAUAACACCUGCCUAAUAGUUUUAGUGGGAGGAUUAUGGAAGGGCUGAGCCUACUGUCCAGCAUAUAUUGGGUUGCUGGAAAAGUCAUGAAGUAUUCUAGGUUUUUCUAUGCAAAAAUGCUUCAUGACUUUUCUGAUGACCCAAUAGUAAGCCCUCAAUUGAUGUUAGAACACGAAGGGAGGAAAAGGGAGUGGAAAAAGUGUCAGUGAUUAUGAAUCUCGAAAGUGGUUUGUUACAAGGAAGGGGUUGGUUUGGUGGGAGUCACGCUGCCUUCGGAGGUUACUACACAGUAAAUGAAACACUUCCUGCUGAUCUGGAUUACGGGACUGUUUUACAGCCAUUGGAGUUAUGGUAGAGAUGGGGGAGAGGACCACCCUUCAUCAGUCUGGACUGACUAAAGCUAGGAACCUGAUGGAAAUUUAAGAGCAGGUAAACUCAAAAUUGCACACCUUUGAUAUGAGAGAAGUGUGUGUGUGUGUGUGUGUGUGUGUGUGUAUGAGAGAGAGAGAGAGAGAGAGAGAGAGAUGGUGUAGAAGUGAGAGGAGAGCAGAAUUAUACUAAGAGGGAGCUGGUUUUCCACUUGAGGCCUAUGUAGAUAUUUCAGAUGGUCAUGGUCACAUUUAUUCUUUGUCUUCACAGCCAGGGAAAGCUUUGUUCUCAGGGCUCUGCUUUGUCCAAUAAAUUAGAUCUUCAUUUCUAAUCAUUUCACCUUGGGAUGUCCCAAGGCACAAAUAUAGACGUCAUUGUCGGUUCCAGAUUCUUCCAGAAGAAAGCCUGUGCUUUCUUGUAUUCACAGUAACAGUCGUACUUAGCAGGCACCAUCAUAGAAAGCACUGAGCCCAUGCGUGGGAUCCAGCUGGGCCCGAUUAUUUGCUGGAUUGCAAGAGAAAAGCUACAACAGUGGCCCGUGGGUGUCGAGACAGCAAAGUGAGGCUGUGCGUGUGACCCCAAGCAUGGCAGGAGUCAGGAGUCUCGGAGUAAUUCAGUCUGUUUCCCCAGCGCUUCUCUCAUGGUGACUGUCCAGUGGCAUUGACUAGAUUGCUGUCAAAUGCUUCAUCUUUCCCAUAAAGAUAGGCAGAGGCCUACCGAUCUUAGGAGCUGCUUGCUUAACGCACCAGCUGUUGUCCUCCAUAAUUUGGUAACUGAUGGUUUGCAGAGCCAGGUUUGAGCUAACUGGUAGGUUAGAUGUAAUUGACCAGUUCUUUGGUCAGUCUACUAUGGCUAUUGUCAUUUCAAGGUUAGAUGUACUUCAUUUUUAACUUUUACCUUUUUGUUGUUGUUGUUGAGACGUUUUUUGCUAUAGGGCGGGUGUGCUUGCCAGAAAGACAGAGACAGAGAGACAGAAAGCGAGAAAUCACCCUGUCUCAGAAGACUAGACCUAGGUUUACCCUUGAUAUUAUUGGUCAGCUUAAGAAAUGUGGGGUCCAUCUUCCAUCCUCCUUUGGUUUACUGUGCGUGUAUGUGUGUGUGUGUGUAUAGCCGUAUAAUCCAACAUUGGAUUCUUUCAUUGAUUUGGCACCUAUAUACUUCUGUCUAACUGACCACAUGUUAACAUAAUGCUCUUCUGCAGUUUUUGAAACUGAAGUCUUCCAGCAGUGGGUUGGUUAAUAAAUGCUACUAACAGCAUGAUGAUAAGCCAAGAGAUGCCUUCAAGGGAGCAUGGUGGGUUGUGCUUGGGUAGUGCAGGGUGGGUAUGAAUGUGUUCUAAGGACACAGGAAGAGGUGCCAUAUCACAACGUCUGUUGGCUUGGUGCUUGACAAAUGACACAUGGCCCUGCUCUGUCCUUCGGAGCUGAGGCAUUUCAGUUGUAGGCGCAUCGUUUUCUUUUCUACUUCUCUACUUCAUUAUCCCCAUGGGACCCCAGGGAGCACAGUCAGGGAAUAAUGGACUCUGAGGAAGACAUUGUCUAGGCAGGAUGUAUUUGUUUCCAUGGAAGUGAAGGAAGAGAGGCGAAAUUUGGAUGCUGCAAGCAAAUCUUUUCUCUCUUUUUAGAACAUAAACACUAUCCCUCUGGCAAAGGAGACAGGCCUCCCUGACUGGUCCAUUUAGAUUCCGCACGACAAGGAGAUAUUGUUUUAUUCUUCAUUAUCAAAGGGCCUAUUUCUUCCAAUUGACCACCUCCCACACACACUCUGCCAAAGUAGCCUGUUUACAAUCUACUCUUGUGGAUUACAGUACUUAGUGGAGACAAGUAGAGAGAAAUGCAGACACUCAAAAGCUUUGAGAUAUCCCACAGAGUUGGAAUGCUUUUUUCAAAGGGGAAAAAAAAAUCUGCAAAUGUGUCUAUACUUGCCGGUGUGCCCGAAAGAGCCAGCUGGACAGCCCAUAAAUGGCUCCCAUGCAGGCACAACAAAAGCUUGUGUCAGAAGUCAAGGGACAGGAGGCUGAGAACUAAUAAUAAUUUUGCACUUACACAGCAAUUUUCCCGCGAAGACCUCAGAGUGCUUUCUAAACAUUAAUUAAAUGGCCAGACAGCCCUGGGAGAUGGCUGUGUAUCACUAUUUCCAAUUUGCAGGGGGUAGAGGAAGGAGAAGUGUUUGCAUGGAGUGAAGUUGGAGCCAGGCCAUGCCACGGUAUGUACGGGUUGGGGACUCAGAGCACUGGGGACAUUUCCCUUGUGAGUGCCAGGCGGUGACCAGGUGUAUGGUACUUACAAGGCCUAGGAGAGGGCCUGGUGACCCACCAGCAGGACCCCCAUGAUAAAGUGGGUAGAAGACCACCUACACUGAGGCUUGCAGGGUGCUGUCACUAGCUCCCCCAUGUGCUCUUCACCACAUGCCAAAUUUCUAUCAUGACACAUUCAUUCUUUUUUGUCAGGUAAAUUGGUUUCACCUCGGGUGUUGGCUCUGAUCGUAGGUACAGCCAGGACACCUUCGAUGGGGAUUGUGGCAUCUCUUCUGCUCAGGUGAAUAUGCCAUGAUUGAUUAUUGAUAUCCGCCCUGCGCAUGGGAAGAGGGAGCUACUGUGGGUUGAACUGUGUCCCUCAGAAAGAUACGGUGAAGUCCUAACUCCUGGUACCUGUGAAUGUGACUUUAUUGGAAAUCAGGUCUUUGCCAAUAUAGGCACGUUAAGAUGAGGUGGUACUGGGCUAGGCUGAGCGUCUUUACCCGUCGAGUGAGAUCUGAGCACAGACACACAGAGAAGAGACGACCUUGUGAAGAUGGAGGCAGAGACUGAGGUGAAGCAUCUACAAGCCAAAUAAUGUCAAGGGUUACCACCGUAGGUGAGAGGCCUGAACAGGUCCUUCUCCGGCUCCUUCUGACAAUUAAGGAUUGGUGACUUCUGGCUUCCAGAGCUAUGAGAGAAUACAUUUCUGUUGCUCUAAGCCACCCAGUGUGGCACUUUGUUAGGUCAAUCAUAGAAAUGAACACAAUGGUCUACACACUGGAAGCUUCCCAUGUAGGAGUGUUAAAUGGUCACUUACUUAAGAAUACAUCCCACCACCAAAGAAAGGUUUCCUGGUGGAUUUGGACUGUGAGGUGCUGUAGUCCAACAUUCUGACUCUAGACAGGGACAGAGUGGAUGGAGUGCCUUGUAGUGGUGGUGACGGUGACAUCACAGUGGUCUCCCUGCCCAAUGUAGUGUUGGCCAAGGAUGGGCUGCUCUAAGCUGGCUCCUUUUCUUCUCAAGAAAAUUCCAUCCUCCCUAACACCAGGUGCUUGGUAAAGAGGAGGCCAGGCCAACAGAUGAUGGUAAGAAGCAAAAGCAGCCCGAGACUCUGGGUGCAAAAAGGCUCCAUUAAGAAAAGAUUGUCAGUCACAGCGGUUAUGUGCAAAUCAGCUGGAAGAGAGUUGAAGAAGAUGUAGACAAAGCCAGAUGACAGAUUAAGAAACAAGCAAAGCAGCACCUGAAGUCAACAAUGUAAUAGAAGAAGCAACAGAAUUGAUCAAGGAGAACAUUGUGCUAUCCAGUGAAUUCAUGGGAGACAUUUUGCUAGGCCUUGCAUCUUAAAGACAUGAGCAUUCCACCCUAGUGGACUUAACUGUGAGAAGAAAUGUAUGGAGACAAGGGGUCUCUCAACAGUGCGUGCCACCAGUGACACCCGGGAAAGGAGAAAAACUAGCUGGAAAAUACUGAACUCACAACUUAGCAUUUUGCCACCUGAAGUUGGUAUUAUAAAAUAAUCCAUACGACUUCAGAAAAUCAGCUAGAAAGUGACAUAUCUAGGAUUAAAAUUCAUAUUUGUCUCAUGCCAAAGCCACUGCCUUUUCCACCUUACUCCACUUUAUCACUAAUUGUGCUAUUGGAAGGCAAAGACAAAGGGAGAAUCUUGAAAGUAAAAAGAGAAGCAACUUAUCACAUACAGGUAAUCCUUGAUAAGACUUAAAGCUGACUUCUGAUCAGAAACCAUGAGAGCCAGAAGGCAGUGAGAUGCCAUAUUCAAGUGAUGAAAGACAAAAUCUAUCAAUCGAGAAUUUUAUAUCCUGCUAUACUAUCCUUCACAAAUUAAGACAUUUCCAAAUAAAAUAUGAACAUGUUUGCUACUACCAGAUGUUCUCUGCAAGGAAUAUGAAAAGCAGAUCUUCAGGCUAAGCUUAAAAGACAGUAAACUAUUAUUUGAAUCCACACAAAGAAAUUAAGAGCAUUGGUAAAGAUGACAGUAUAAAAGACUAUGAAUUUAUUUUUUGGGUCCUACUCCUCUUUUUUCAUAUCUGCUAAAUGACAACUGCAUAAAGCAAUAAAUACAAAUCAGUGGUGAUAGGGACACAAACAAAAGUGGGAGUAUAAAGUUGUGUGGGAGCCAAGUUUUACUAUACACAUGUUUAAAACACAAAACUACCAAAACUCAUUAAAGAAAAGGUAGGAAAUCUGAAGAGACUUUUCAGAAAAAGAAAAAUGUGGGACAAGUUUGCUUCAUUGGUGAAUUUUACAAAACAUUUAAAGGAGAAUUAACACCCCUCAUUCUAAAAUGCUUCCAAAAAAUGGACCAGGAGAGAAUACAUCCUAAUUUAUUCUCUGAGACCAAUAUUACCACAGUUUCAAGCCAGAUAACUUAUAAGAAGAAAUGAAAAUUACAGUUCAAUCUCUCAUAUAAAUAUAGAUGCAAAAAAUCCUCAACACGAUAUUAGCAAACUGAAUCUAGCAGUGUAUUAAAAAGAUUAUACACCAUGACCAAGUAGAAUUUAUCCCAGGAAGCCCUGGUUGUUUCAACAUGCACAAAUCAAUCAACAGAACAUGCUACGUUAAUAGAUUAAAGGAGAAAAACACAAUUAAUUCAGAAAAAGUAUGUGACAAAAUCCAACCCUUUCAUUAUUUAAAAACAAAACAAAACAAAACAAAACAAAAAACCCCACUUAGAAUAGAAGGGAACUUCCCCAAUUUGAUAAAAGGAAUUUAUGAAAAACCCAAGCUAGGACCACACUUAGUGGUAAAUGACUGAAGCUUCCCUCCAAAGUCAGGAACAAGACAAGGUUAUCUUCUCUUGCCAGUCCUAUCAAAAUCCCAGCUGUAUUUUCUGCAGAAAAUGACAAGUUGAUCCUAAAGUUUAUAUAGAAAUUUAAAAGGCCCAGAAUAGCAGAAAUAAUCUUGGAAGAGAACAAGUAGGAAGACUUAACACUUCACAGUUUCAAAACUUACUACAAUGCUACAAUAAUCAAGAUGACAUGGUACUGGUAUAAGGAUGGACACAUUGAUUAAUAGAACAGAAUUAAGAAUUUAGAAAUGAACUCUUAAACUUCCAGUUAAUUCAUGUUCAACAAGAACUCCAAGACAAUUCAAUAGAAAAAUAACAUUCUAUUGUACAAGCUGGCUAUCUACAUACAAAAGAAUGAAUUUUGACCCCUACCUAAUGCCACAUGUAAAGUCAACUCAAAGUGGAUCAAAGAUUUAAAUAUAUGAAGCUAUUUGAAGGAAAUAUGAGUGUAAAUCUUCUUGAACUUGUGUUAGGCAACUGUUUCUUUAAAAUGAUGUAGAAAAUAUAAGCAACACAAUAAAAAAAUGGAAUCGGAAGCUUUAAAAAGCGAUAAAUAUAUAAUAAUGAAUCCAAUUUUGAUUAUGUUGAACUUUAUACCAACAAAGUCAUAAAUCAUUACUUGAAAUAGAUUUUUUUUUAAAUGGUGAAAGGACCCCUGGAGGCAAUAGACCCAGCAAAGCCAUCGUGUGACUCUGGCCACACAAGCAAAGUAGGUGAAUUUGGGAGAUACUUUGAAGAUGAACUCUGGUUGCAUGUGGGGAUCACAUAAAUGGGUUGUGGAUGGUGGUGUUGACUGCUGAGAUGAGAAGCAAUGGGGGAAGACUGAAGUUGGAGGAGCAAGGAUGAGUACAGUUUUGCACCUAUUUAAUCUGGGGUACCCAUGGCUCUGUGUGUGGCCCUACUGUGUGUAACUCUACUGUGGUCAGAUUAGCCAAGUUUCAUUUAUUCUUUGUAAUGAAGACAUAAAAAUUGCUUCACUAAACAGAAGUGUUUUUUUUUUUUUUUUAAGUUUAUCGAUAUCUAUUUCUUCCCUUAGAGAAAGACAUAGGCACCUCCAACAGGGUCCUCAGACUGUGACCCUCCACUGUC